UGGGGAAUAUUGGACAAUGGGGGCAACCCUGAUCCAGCGACGCCGCGUGUGUGAAGAAGGCCUGCGGGUUGUAAAGCACUUUUAGUGGGGAUGAAAAGCCAAGGGUUAAUACCCUUUGGUCUUGACCUAACCCAAAGAAAAAGCACCGGCUAACUCUGUGCCAGCAGCCGCGGUAAUACAGAGGGUGCAAGCGUUAAUCGGAAUUACUGGGCGUAAAGCGUGCGCAGUCGGUUAUCUAAGUCGGAUGUGAAAUCCCCGGGCUCAACCUGGGAAUUGCAUUCGAUACUGGAUAGCUAGAGUUCGGCAGAGGGAAGCGGAAUUUCGGGUGUAGCGGUGAAAUGCGUAGAUAUCCGAAGGAACAUCAGUGGCGAAAGCGGCUUCCUGGACCAGAACUGACGAUCAGGCACGAAAGCGUGGGGAGCAAACA
rnacentral:rRNA from 1 species